rnacentral:tRNA from 1 species
GGAGGGAUGUCCGAGUGGUUAAAGGAGGCAGACUGUAAAUCUGUUCGGCUAGUCCGUACCCAGGUUCGAAUCCUGGUCCCUCCA